rnacentral:rRNA from 1 species
GGCAGCAGGCGGGAAUCAUAGACAAUGGGGGAAAGCCUGAUCUAGCCAUGCCGCGUGAGUGUCGAAGGCCUUAGGGUCGUAAAGCUCUUUCUCCAGGGAAGAUAAUGACAGUACCUGGAGAAGAAACCCCGGCUAAUUCCGUGCCAGCAGCCGGGGUAAUACGGAGGGGGUUAGCGUUGUUCGGAAUUACUGGGCGUAAAGCGCACGUAGGCGGAUUAGUCAGUCAGAGGUGAAAUCCCAGGGCUCAACCUUGGAACUGCCUUUGAUACUGCUAGUCUUGAGUUCGAGAGAGGUGAGUGGAAUUCCGAGUGUAGAGGUGAAAUUCGUAGAUAUUCGGAGGAACACCAGUGGCGAAGGCGGCUCACGGGCUCGAUACUGACGUUGAGGUGCGAAAGCGUGGGAGGCAAACAGGAUUAGAUA